CUUGAAUCAACCAGUUACACAAUAUCAGAAUAAUAAAUACUCAAUAUAAAAUGUCGAAAUUAUUCUUCAUGGUUUUAUCAAUCUUACUUCUCGUAUGGAAAAUUACUGCUGAUUGUGGUAAUGUCGGUGAUGAGUGUGAUGAAUAUUUUCAUGAGUUUGAAGAGUGUUGUAAUGGGCUAAGUUGUCUAGAUAGUAGUUAUGGCAACUUAGUGUGUCAAUACGGCUGAAACUUAAAUAUGUUAUU